AGAGUUUGAUUCUGGCUCAGGACGAACGCUGGCGGCGUGCUUAACACAUGCAAGUCGAACGAUGAAGCCUAGCUUGCUAGGUGGAUUAGUGGCGAACGGGUGAGUAAUACGUGAGUAACCUACCUUUAACUCUGGGAUAAGCCUGGGAAACUGGGUCUAAUACCGGAUACGACCAAUCUCCGCAUGGGGUGUUGGUGGAAAGCGUUAUGUAGUGGUUAUAGAUGGGCUCACGGCCUAUCAGCUUGUUGGUGAGGUAACGGCUCACCAAGGCGACGACGGGUAGCCGGCCUGAGAGGGUGACCGGCCACACUGGGACUGAGACACGGCCCAGACUCCUACGGGAGGCAGCAGUGGGGAAUAUUGCACAAUGGGCGCAAGCCUGAUGCAGCGACGCCGCGUGAGGGAUGACGGCCUUCGGGUUGUAAACCUCUGUUAGCAGGGAAGAAGAGAAAUUGACGGUACCUGCAGAGAAAGCGCCGGCUAACUACGUGCCAGCAGCCGCGGUAAUACGUAGGGCGCGAGCGUUGUCCGGAAUUAUUGGGCGUAAAGAGCUUGUAGGCGGUUUGUCGCGUCUGCUGUGAAAGGCCGGAGCUUAACUCCGUGUAUUGCAGUGGGUACGGGCAGACUAGAGUGCAGUAGGGGAGACUGGAAUUCCUGGUGUAGCGGUGGAAUGCGCAGAUAUCAGGAGGAACACCGAUGGCGAAGGCAGGUCUCUGGGCUGUAACUGACGCUGAGAAGCGAAAGCAUGGGGAGCGAACAGGAUUAGAUACCCUGGUAGUCCAUGCCGUAAACGUUGGGCACUAGGUGUGGGGGACAUUCCACGUUUUCCGCGCCGUAGCUAACGCAUUAAGUGCCCCGCCUGGGGAGUACGGCCGCAAGGCUA
rnacentral:rRNA from 1 species